AGAGUUUGAUCAUGGCUCAGGACAAACGCUGGCGGCGUGCUUAACACAUGCAAGUCGCACGGGGCCCGCAAGGGUUCAGUGGCGGACGGGUGCGUAACACGUGAAGAACUCGUCCAUCGGUGGGGGAUAGCCGGCCCAACGGCCGGGUAAUACCGCAUAUGACGAAAGUUGAAAGGAGUAAUCCGUCUAAAGAUGAGCCCGCGUCCGAUUAGCUAGUUGGUAGAGUAAAAGCCUACCAAGGCGACGAUCGGUAGCUGGUCUGAGAGGAUGAUCAGCCACAAUGGGACUGAGACACGGCCCAUACUCCUACGGGAGGCAGCAGUGGGGAAUUUUACGCAAUGGGCGAAAGCCUGACGUAGCGACACCGCGUGAGCGAAGAAGCCCCUUGGGGUGUAAAGCUCUGUCAGCUGGAACGAAAAAAAUGACGGUACCAGCAGAGGAAGCAUCGGCUAACUACGUG
rnacentral:rRNA from 1 species